rnacentral:lncRNA from 1 species
GACAGCUGGUACGCAGUGCUAGAGAGUUCAUGUUCUCCAAAUAUGAGGUGACCAUGUUGGGUUGAAACCUUCCAUUGCUCACAUUUCUGCUGAGAAGUCUGAGGCUCAUUCUCUUGCCCUUCACACCUGUCAUUUUACAAACCUCAGAAAAUACAUUUUUUUCACACACUGAUACCUGAAUGCCCCUUUCAUUCAUUGCUCCAACUGACCCCUCCUUUUUCACUCUUCUCUGAGUUCUUUGUACAGUGCUCCCAAAGCGCCAUAAUCCAUUCAUCGUAAAGUUCUCUUCUUACUCAAUAAUUUGAUUCAUGACUACUAUCAUUAUCAUCUUUAUUAUUAGUGUGUGUGCAGGAUUUAUGCAGAUGCAUACCACAGCACACGUGUGGAGCUCAGAGGACAACUUUUCGGAGUCUGUUUUCUCUUUCCAGAUUUGCAUGGAUUCCAGGAAUGGAAUUCAGGUCACCACACCAGAUUGGCACAGGAUGAGCCUUUACCAGCCAAACCAUCUCAUUGCUCCAAUAAAGUCUGUUUAUCUAACAUGAUUCUCUCCUUUCUCUUCAGAAGUGCUGUUUUCCCUUGAAGACAUUGUGUCUGCCAUGGCUAUCUUGAGUGGAGGCUAGUCUUUUCGAGUGCCAUAGCUAUCUCAGAGCACAGGAUAUAUAGCAGGACUUGUGACCAUUUAAGCUACAAAAUUUGGACAAAUAUUUUGAGACAUGGCUUAAGCUUCAUGCUUUUUUUCUGUUUGUUUUUGUUUGUUUUUUGUUUGUUUGUUUUUCAAGACAGAGUUUCUCUGUAUAGCCCUGGCUGUCCUGGAACUCACUUUGUAGACCAUGCUGGCCUCGAACUUAGAAAUCUGCCUGCCUCUGCCUCCCAAGGUCUGGGAUUAAAGGCGUAUGCCACCAUGCCGGGCUAAGCUUCAUGUUUUUUAUAUAUGGAAUCUGUUAUUAUCGUUAAGAAUUUUAGCACCCAAGUAGAAAGGUUACUUGCCUUGGUUGAUUGCCUUGGUUGUUUUUCAUCUUUGAAAAAGUUUAUCUUCAUCUGAAAACCAAAAAGACAUAACUAUUAUUAACUAUCAGCAUGUGGAAAAGGAGAUUGGAGGGAUAUAAAGGAUAUAGAAAUGAGAUAAAGGACCAGACCUCACGCUUGUGACUUAUGAAGAUAAGAUCUCCUUUGAUUGACAGCCGAAGUUAAAACAAACAAGUGGGAAACUUGCCUGCAAAAAAAUCAGCAGUCAAGUUAAGAUGAUUUAAUCAAAUUUUCUAUUCAAAAUAAUUCCUUUACCCAAAGCCAUCAUGAGCCAUCUUUUCCCAAUUGAGUACUCGAAAGAAGAAAACUGGGCUAGAGAAACAGGAUCUCGGAUGAUUAUAAUUGAAGAGUGUCUAUUGCUCCAGAGCCACAAUCUAUGAGCUAGAAGACAGCUGGGACAGCAAAUUCUUGACUCGCUUAUCAUCAUGUUCCCUUUCCAUGGUCAGCCCAGACUCUGGGCUCCAUCACAACACACUAGUCUGUUCAGCAUGGAGUACCUUUUUUGCCUCUUCUAGUCCAGCCAUCCAGGCAAAUCAAUCAAUACACUAAGUGGCAAUUCAUAAGUGACCCAUCGUGUCAAGCUGGAGAGCAGGAGGGACACCCAGCUUUUUAAAGCGAGCUUAUCAAUCACUGUAUCCCGAAUAAGCAUCUUCAUCCCAGCUACAGAAAAUAGAAGGCUGUAGAAAAGAA